ACGGGAGGCAGCAGUGAGGAAUAUUGGUCAAUGGACGAGAGUCUGAACCAGCCAAGUAGCGUGCAGGAUGACGGCCCUCCGGGUUGUAAACUGCUUUUAGUUGGGAAUAAAAGGAGCGACGUGUCGCUUAUUGCAUGUACCAUCAGAAAAAGGACCGGCUAAUUCCGUGCCAGCAGCCGCGGUAAUACGGAAGGUCCGGGCGUUAUCCGGAUUUAUUGGGUUUAAAGGGAGCGUAGGCGGGCUUUUAAGUCAGUGGUAAAAGCGUGUGGCUCAACCAUACCACGCCAUUGAAACUGGAAGUCUUGAGUGCACACAGGGAUGCUGGAAUUCGUCGUGUAGCGGUGAAAUGCUUAGAUAUGACGAAGAACUCCGAUCGCGAAGGCAGGUGUCCGGGGUGUAACUGACGCUGAGGCUCGAAAGUGCGGGUAUCAAACAGGAUUAGAUACCCUGGUA
rnacentral:rRNA from 1 species